UACAGAGGGGGCAAGCGUUAUUUGGAAUUAUUGGGCGUAAAGGGCGCGUAGGCGGCGAUUCAAGUGACGGGUGAAAUCCCUCGGCUUAACCGAGGAACUGCCUGUCAGACUGGGUUGCUUGAGACCGGGAGAGGCGAGUGGAAUUCCCAGUGUAGCGGUGAAAUGCGUAGAUAUUGGGAGGAACACCAGUGGCGAAGGCGGCUCGCUGGACCGGAACUGACGCUGAGGCGCGAAAGCGUGGGGAGCAAACAGG
rnacentral:rRNA from 1 species